AAAAUUGAAAGUUUUUAAGAUUAAUUUUACAUUUAUUCAACAAUUCAGAUAAGAUCUAUACAUUUUUAUCAAUAGCAUUUUUAUUUAUUUAUUUUUGGGAAGAAUUAUCUGUAUACCCCUCAAAAUUUUUGAAAUAUCUUAUGUACACUUUAUUUUAUUUUAAAUAAUAUAUUUUGUAUAUUUCUCCGUUAUUCAAAAAUACUCUAUUGUUAAUACUCGUCAAGUCAUCUCAGAUUAAACUAGUUUUAAAUUUCUACUCAAGUUUAAAAGAAAUCAAAACACCUCUUUUACUCCUGACUUAGGACAAAUAAGAAAAGUUGAUGACAGUAGAAUGUUUUAUUUAAAAGGGCAAAAAGUGAUCAAAAAUACUUAUUUUGCUCCUAACAUAAGGGCAAAUAAAAAAAGAUGGUGACGGUACAAUAAUAUAUUUUGAAUGCGUAAAAUAAUAAUUUUUACAGAAAUAACAAAUGUACGUAACAAUUCACUAACAGAAUUUAACUCUAAAAGUAUAUUUAAAAGAAUUGAAAAUGUUAAAAAGAUAUAUAUAUUUUUUAUAUUAGCCUUUAAAAAAAGUAAAUAAAAAGUCUGAAACUUUUCAAUCACGAGAAUAUAUAAACAAUUGCCCCUUACUUUUACUCAAGAUUGUGAUGUUCUUGUCUUUCUCUCUCUCUCUCUCUCUCUCUUUCAUCUCUCUCUUGUCCAAAUCAAAAGGAUGAGAAUGCUGCUUGGGUAUUGCCUACUACCAAACAUAUAUAAAUUCCUUGGAUAUAAUAUCAUAGGAUGUAGGACAAGGAUGUCACUGCAGCUUCAUGAGGUUAUAUUAAUUAGGAACCACACAAAAUAUAUACAUAUAUGAGUUUAAUUUCCAUGGAGAUGAAGUGUCCCAACCAUAUAUGCCUUAGUAUAUUUCAUGCAAAGCCCUUUUCAGCAAAGGAGCUUUAAUUGAUUUUUGUGUAAACAGCUAGGUUUAGUUCCAAUCAGUGUAGUAGGGAACAAACUUACAAUUAAACUAAGUACCUUUUGAAAGCCUUUCCUACCAUUCAUUUUCUCAGAUGUACUUCUGCUGCUUUGAUAUUUGUGCUGUCAACUUCCUACCUAAUUGAAUAAUAAUUGUGAACAACUCAUUAGAGAAGCCAUUUUAAGAUCUUGUCUCAAAUGUAGACAAGUUGGUAUUACACACAAGAAUUUAUGCAUUAAUUGAUAAUCCUGAUCUUUUAUCGACGACUUGUUGUGUCAUCUGACGUACAUUAUGACUUUAUUGAUUAGAAAAAUUAAAUUGAAGGCCCGAUAAGCGAUUUUUGAACCUACAUGCAUUUGCACUAUAGAUGCAAAUUAUAGCUUAAUAUUGAACAAAUAGAUGGUUAAGCUUCUGGAAAGAAAUCUCUUUUCCUUCUUCUUUUUUUUUUUUUUUUUCAAAGUUCAAGUAGAAAAGUACCUCAACUAGAACAAGAAGCUUCAGUUCUUUAGUUGCUAAAUAGAUAACUUUUAAUUCUUCAAUUAAAAAGUUUAUUUUGAACAAGUAAACCAAAUAAGUAAUGAGGCCAAGUUUGAAAGUACUUUUUCUUCCAAAGCAACUUAGCUGUGAAAAUGUUUUUCCUUUAGUAAGAACUUAGGGUGUCUUUAAUUAUUUCAUCGAAAGUAGAGAGGGAUGAAGUAAUUUUCGAUAAUGUAUGCUUAUUUUUAUUGUUUGCUUUACUGUAUCUUCACGCAAUAACUUCUAUUUCUUCAAUUAAAAUGUUUAUUUUGAACAAGUAGACCAAACGAAAGGCCAGGUUUGAGAAUACUUUUUUCUGCAUAGCAUCUUGGUUGUGAAGAUAUUUUUUCUUAAGAACUUCAUGGUGUGUUUAUUUCAUCUAAAGUGGAGAGGGGAGAAAUGAUUUUCGGCUGUAAAUGACUAUUUUUUAAGUUUGGUUUACAGUAACUUUUCUUACGGUUAAAACUCAAACUCUCUAAAAUGUGGUAAUUGAUUUCAACUUGUCCCCGCGAAGUCAAUUAUGAAGGUAAAAAAAAUGAGAAGAACUAAACAAAAAUAUUAAUCGGUUCAUCUUUCAAACUUUCAGCUUUUAUGUCAUUCGCUUACUGCCAAACAAAUGGCAGAACUAUGGAAACUUUAGUUCCAUUAUUAUACAAACAAAUAGCGGAAGAUAGAUACUUUUUACAUGACUUUUAGUUCACUUGAAAGUCUACUUCACCUUAAAUAAAGUGAAACAAACACGCCCCAAAUGUUUUAUAACUUCAAAACAAUUCUGAUGUGCUUGCAAACUCAACCAUUCAAUUGCUACAAAGUGAUAAUGGGGCGUUCCAUUACAGAAGCAUUAUAACAUAAGCUUCUUUCUUAGCGAAGUAUCCACCAUCAUAACAACGUCUCAAUUAGUCUUAUAUUGGAUGAAAAAAAUAUUAUGUAUAAGGAUACAAGGGGUAACUAGUAUUUUAAUUAGUACUAAUAACUUUUGAGUUUAAGCAUUUUGAUUUUAUAUUUUAGACCAAAUAAAUUAUUAGUACUAGUAGACUGAAUUGUCACAGCUGUUUUAAGCAUUAAUUAAAAUGCAAAGAAAUGUUCUAGAAAAGAUAUUUCCAAACUAGACCUGCAUAAAUCUACUAUCCAAGCUAGCAAAUAUGCUAAUAUUCAUAUUUUAGUAAAUGACAGAGGCAGGGAAGAGGCAAACAGGGACCUGUGGGAAACCAGGGGCUUGCAAUGCAUGUGAUUGCAAUUAAUAUGCAGUUGGCACUAGAGACCCAACCUAGUCUUGGGGGAGGGUGGGGUGGGGUGGGGUUGGGGUUUGGGGAGAGAGAGAGAGAGAGAGAGAGAGAGAGAGAGAGAUGUUGUGGCAUUACCUCUACACAUUAUCUCUAUAUACUGGUAAUUCUAUAUAGAAUUAAUAGUAUUAAAUUAGUAAGAGCUACUAUACUUUCAAAAGUAUAAAAGAGUUAAAGCUUCUGACUUAUCGGCCCUUGGAUCAAAAAUUGUAGGAUUGGGAUGAUAGUGGUCUACCUCUAAGGUUUAGUAGUUCUCCUACUAGGAUUUAGUGGUUGCUUUAGCGGAAUAGUAUUAAUAGAAAGGCUAGAGAUGGUCAAAGAAUUUGAUUUAAGAGUUAAAAAAUUAGAAGCACCAUAUGAGUGGUGCUUCUGAAAACAACAUAGUCGAACUCAUUUAAUUAUGUAUUAACAUUUAGUCUAAAAAUCGAUUAAUAAUAUUUUUAUCUUACCAUCUUGUCUAUUAAAAAUUAGAAUUUUGCUACGCCCACAAACAACUGCGCACGUUAAAUCACACCAUUCCUGUGAUUUAGGAGGAUGCUCUGAGAUUCACGUAGAUAAGUAUGAAUGUCAAAAAAUUCACCUAGAUAAGAAUGAAUAAUAGUAUGGAUCCCACAUCAUUUUAACUAAUAAAAUUUUUUAAAUUCAAUGUACAUGUACGAUUGGAAGUAGAGAUGUCAAUAGGUAUGAAUACCCAAAAUUUUAUUCAAAUCUGAAUCCGAAGUUAAUUAACAGGUUUAAUAUGAUGUAAAUUGAUAUGUUUUCGGGUAUGAAAAUGAAAAAUACAAAAUCUAGAUAGAUUUAAAUUCGGGUAUGAAUUUGCUUACACUUAUUCCAACUCAAAUCCGAACAAAAACUGAGCGCAACGGCUUCUGGGAUGCAUCGGAUUUCGAAUUUGGGUUGGAUUUGGUUUGAAUAUGAAUUUUCAUAAGCAUUGGGUUCAGAUUUAGAUUAUGCUUUCAAUUCAAUUUAGAUUAUCUGGUUCGGUUCAAAUUUUUAAAAAUCUGUCUCGAAUCCGACCCGAUGACAUCUCUAUCAGGAGGCAUAGCAUCUCUCUUAAAAUUACUGUAGUUCUUUUAAUGUGAACUCUAUCCUCUUACGCCAUCAUCUGAUUGGUUUGUUUGUAAAGAACUGUUUAGCCUUGCUGUGCCAUAUAGUGCUAUUUAAAAAGUGUUGUGUGAAUACUACUAUUAAGAGAACAGCCAUAUUGAAGCGCCCACAGCAACUUUUUUUUCUACAGCAGAGUCAAAUUACAAAAUUAAAAUUUUUACUUGUAGGACUCAGAACUUUAUUUUCGCUUUCUUUUUACAGGGAAAGUAACAGAAACAGAACGAAACAUGCUGACAAGAACCUCCCUUUCGAUCUAAUCUCUCUUUUUCUCCCCCUAACUGUUUAGCCUUCAAAACAUCAAUAAAAUAUGCCGGCGAGUCAUUUCGUAGGACUAGGGCAUGUGAACUCGCACAGACACAGACACAGACGCGACUCGGACACAGAUGCAGGAACAAGUGUGUGAUGCAGAGCUUAGAUUGUAAGCUCCCAACCGUGUGGACUCCUCCCCACACCCACCAUUUGGGUCACUUGGGUCGCUUGGGUCCAUUUAUUUUGAGACAGGGUAGGAGCCUUGGUGGCCAUAGGCGACCUCCCAGCCUUGUGGGUGGGUCCCCCCUGCCUGCUUGCAUUUCAUGGUCUCUGCUUUAAAUACUGGUUUCGCACUUUCUCAUUUUAAUAUUCUUUAGUUUAAAGUGUAUCAAUUUAGUAUCCUCUAGUUUCUUUUUUUUUUUUUCGUCAGCCCCUCCGUUAACUUUUUGUUAAAUCAUAUACAAAAAACUUCAGAUACUCUACCUAUAAUUUAUCGAAUAUUCACUUUCGUACUCUUUAGUUUUAACUUUGUUACUGAUUUAAUGAAAAAAAAUUAGCAGAGUGGAUGACAAAAAGAGAAAAAAAAAAAUUAUAGAGUACGAAAGUAAUACACUUCAAAUCAUAGGGUACUAAAGUGAGAAAGUGUGAAACCACAUGGAUGGUAUUUGAAUUUUUUUAAGAAAAAAAACGGUGUCACAUUGGUUGUUCUAAUUUAGUUAAAUGAAUAACUAUAUAUAGAGAGAGAACUAUAUAGGCUUUUGUGCUUUUAGAAAUAUAAUAGCUUUUGUACUAUCAAAUCAUUUUUAAUAUCGAAACUUUUUAAUCAACGAUCGGCUCCAUUAGACUUGAUCUAGAUUAUUUAAAGUAACUAUAAAAUAUAUUUCGUAAUUUUCGAUAUCAUUUACCUAGUGAUUAAAGGAGUUUAAAAUCAACAAGUUUAAUAAUAUAGAAAUACUUAAAUCACUUGAAAUUUUGAUAGAUUUUUUUUACUUAUAUAAAACAAGAUCAAUAUUUUGAUCUAAAAUUUUAACGCCAUAUCAUCAUUUUUUAUAAACUUUUUAUUUUUAACCAUUGAUUUUGAGUUCUUUCGAUUACUAGGUAAAUAAUAUUGAAAAAUUAUGAAAUUUAUUUUCUACAUAUUUCAAAUACUGUAGAUCAAGUCUAAUGUGGCCAAUUAUUAAUUUGAUCAUUUCAGCAUCAAAAACAACUUGAUAACACGGAGAUCUCCGUGCUUAUAAGAGCACACAAGCCACUCUCUCUCUCUCUCUCUCUCUCUCUCUGUGGUAUACUAACGGUAGUAUGGAGGCCUCCGUGCUACCAUGUUGUUUCUAAUGAUGCGGCUUCCAAAUCGACAAUCGGUUCUAUUAGACUUGAUCUAAACUAUUGAAAGUAUUUGAAAACUAAAUUUCAUAAUUUUUCGGCAUUAUUUACCUAUCAAACGAAUAGUAUAAAAAUGAACGGCUGAAAAUAAAAAUCUCAUAAAAAAUGACGAUAAAAUACUUGAAUUUAAGAUCAGAAGUACUGAUCUUACGCUAAAUAGUGAAAAAAAAUUUCUAUAAAAAUUUUAUCAGAUUUGGAUUCUUUCAUACCAUUAAAUUUACAAAUACAUCACAUCUACUAUUAACAUUAUCAAUUUUGAAACCUUUUGAUCACUAGUCAACUAAUAGCGAAAAAUUAUGAAAUUUAGUUUCCAAAUACUUCUAAUAGUGUAGAUAAGUCUAACAGAGCCGACCGUCGACUUGGAUGCCACAUCAUUGAAAACAACUUAGUAGCACGGAAGCCUCCGUGCUACUGAUAGUAUACCAGUCUAACUCUCUCUCUCUCUCUCUCUCUCUUUAUAUAUAUAUAUAUAUAAAAGAGAAGAUUAUAUAUUACAUAUAUGAUUGUAUAUGUAUGUAUAUGAUACACUGUAUAUCAUACUUAUAAUAUAUAUACAUAUAUAUAUAUAUAUGUACUACUAUAUAUAUAUGUACAUAAUGUAUAUACAUAUAUAUAAAAUCAUAUAUAUACAUACUAAUGUAUUAUACAUAAUAUGACUAUUAUAUAUAUAUAUAACAUAUAUGUAUAUUAUGAUUUCACCGUAUAAUAUAUAUAUACUAAUUACAUAUAAUAUAUAUAUAUGUAUAAUAUAUAGAUAUAUACUAUAUACAUAUAUAUCUUAUUAUAUUACUAAUUAUGUUCUAUAACACUAUAUAACUAUUAUUGAAUAUACUAUAUCUAUAUUCACCAUACAUAUAUAUGAGUAGGGGUUACUAUACUAUUAUGAGUAUUGGCUCUUCGUACUCAUAAAGUUAUUUUUUGUAAGGACUGAGAUUUUUUACAGUGAAAUAAACUCUCCUGUUGACGAUAUUAUGUGUGUAUUAAUUACAAUAAGCACUCGUCAAGUUUCAGAAGAAAAUGAGCUAAACGGAGAACGUUAACGGAUUAGUAGUUUUCACUAAUGAUAAGUAACUCGGUUUUCCGAAGAGGCCACGGAAGUAGAGUUGGCUUCGGUGCGUAUCGACUCCAGUUCCUAGUGGUCCAAUAGCUCGUUUCGACCUUCAGCUGUUCCUGGAACUAAUGCGCUGACGAUUUUGAAUUUUGACGCACGGGAUUCGAGAAAAUCAAAAAAUACAUGUUUUAUAUGCUAAUUUUUGUGGUUUCUUUCAAUUGGAACGAAAAGCGUUGGAUUUUUGUCGUGAAUCCGUGCGAUGUCGAAGACGAAACAAUGUAGCUUGUUGUCUCACGAGGUACUGAUCGUACGGUGCGAAUCCGUUCGCAAAAUCUGACGGACGGAUCUGCUGAUAUGCGCGUUGUUCGAGGAGAGCUCUCGUGGGAAUAACGGUAUUUCGUUGCAAAGUGCGCGCAAUACUUUUAUGUACCGUAUUUAACGUGAGAUCGCACUGGAGGGGUAUUCUCGUAUGUUUACACGCAGCUGUAAGGGACUUAGUACCAAAUACGGAGUUGAGGGGCUUUUCCAGCAAUUUGGAGGCUAAGUUAUACAAAGAGUAUCUAGGGAUUUGCAAUGGAAACCCUAAACCCUAAGCCUCCCUGUGCACCAGCCGCCUAGGAGGCUCCCGCCCACGCCGUGCUUGGCACCCCCGCGGCCGGCAAGCACGGCCGCGUCGCGGAAAAAGUUUUUCCCAAGAUCAACCUUUCCUCCUCUCCCUCCACUCUUUGCCGGAGGUUGUACCCAGCACCAACCACUGAAGCCGGCCAGGCCUUGAGUUAGGUGAGCCCCGACCCAGGCACCCGGCACCUUGUCACCGCCGCGCCCCACCGUCGCCGUGCGCCGCCGGAGCCGCCGUAGCCGCCUGCGGCCCAGGACACCACCAGGCCGAAGCUGGUGGCUCGGUGUUGUGGUGCCCUGGCGCGCAGCUUUCCCGACGGCGGGGAGGCUCCGCCGACCGUUGUCCGGGACCACCGAACCGACCCCUGGCCACCCUUGAGCGCCGCCCGGCCGCUGCAGGUGCCCCCUGCCGGCCUUGCUUGUGUAUCGGCGCGAGGCGCGGGCCGCCUUCGCAGCUCCGAGCAUCGCCUGCCGCCCGCCGACGCAAGCUCGGCCACCACCUCGACCCCCGCCAUCGUCCCCGACCGGCCGGACCAGCCCGACCCGCCAUGCUGUCCGCCUCCCGCCCGCGGCGACUGAUGGAAGGCACCAAACCGGAUGGCGUCGGCGGCUCCGUACGCGCCGCCGCACCUCCCCGGCCGCUGAGCGCGCCUGUCGUCGGAGUUCCCCGGACCCGCCAACCUGUGCACCCCUCCGGCCGGAUCGCCCUGCCGAAUAACGCCGGCGGCCCCCCUAAGCUCCCCCCCUCACUGUGAGUGUCCAUUUACCGCAUUCCAGCACUGUUUCCCACUCUCCGGUAACGUUUUUCGGCAAUCCGAAAUGGUCUUUUUUGACCUCGGGAAGUGAGCACGAUGAUUCUUAGGUCUGCUGAACAUCGUGCUCCUUCCGUUGGCCCUGAGAAUGCCUUGGUUCGCCGGGUAACGCGCGAUCUUCCUAGCGGUGCGGCUGCUUCCGGCUGACCUUCGCGUCGCUUGUCGCCACGCAGUCGCCCGAAUGUGCUCCGAAUGGUGAGCACGGUCUCCGGCGACGCUUGAAACCUAUCAGCGGGUGCGACGGUUGACUCCAGCGAGCCUCGUCAUCGCAAGAAUCGGUCCAUUAAAACUGUCGGAAAUCGCAUAAAAUGAUAGAUUUUAGGGUUCAAACGAUGUGCGUUUUCUUGCAUAUAACAUCGACUCGGUCGCCUGUGAACAGGCGUGUAAACCUGAGGGAACCUCUGGACUGGAUUGUCCAAGGCGCUAAGACCGUUGCGAAGAUCGAAAAUGCUUUUCCGGUGGCGUUUUUCGGCGAAUAUCCGCCGACGGAACGCGGGUUUCGGUUCGGAAUUAUUCCGACGGUGCCUUCGUGAACUUUUGCGUAAGUCGCUGAGGCCUUGUUGGCUGGUCAAUUGCGUCAUUUCGAGAGUUCGGAAAUGAACGGGUGAGCGACGGUGGGGUUCCGGUGUCAGAAUUACGAAACACGUUCCGGGGAACCCGAAUCGAACGAUUAUCCGAACGAUAAUUGCUUCAAACAGAGGAGUGUGUUCGCUGCCAUGAUGCAUGAUUAUUUAUGUUUAGUGGCAGCAGGUGACUCGUAGCUAGAGUCGGUAUUUCCGGAGACAGUUCGUGCUCCGGCGGAUGCCGUGCGAUUUACGGGACUUCCAGGCGUAUUACGGCGAUCGGUUUGGGAAACCGCGAUCUCCAUGGGUUUUGCUUGUAGGUUGUGGAUUUUAGUGGUUAUUAGCUUGUGGGUGUAGACACUAACCCGGUGACUUCCAUUAGGUCCGGUUGACGUCCUUUUUGCAGGUCAGACGACAGGCGCAGCAUUUGUACAGGUGGGUACUUCGAUCCGCGUCGUACUUAGUGGUGCACGCUCGUGAUGGUUUCCGUACUCUGUCUCCGUUUAUUAUCGGCAUUUAUAUAUUAUAUCAUUGAUAUAUAUGUUUGGAGCUUGCAUCCCCGUUGCUUUCUAUUACUCUACUCAAUAUUUCUAUGCUCUAGUAUCAUGUGUAGGAGUAGAGUAGUUUAUCCAUCAUGUGAUGUCGUGAUCCUGAUUGGUCGGUUCUCGUACCUUGUUCCGGUGACUGAUUUGGUCGGUUUCUGCGUACUUCGUUCGCGUGACCUAGUUGAUCGGGCAUGUUUAUCUUUAUAUCUGUUGACCUGGUUGUCGGUUGUUGCAUUACGUAAUUGGUUUGGUCCUGUUUCUUGACUUCCUGUUGUUCGAUGACGCUUGAGGUCGGUGUACCCUGAGGGAUAGGAUUGUCGGCUGGUUGCUAGGUAGUUCUGGAACUAUAUCGAUACACUUUUCACUGUGCCUUCGGUCGUCUUAUGCGUUGUACUUUUAGUUGACUAUCGAGCAGUAUCUGCAUAUUACUUAUUUACUCUGCCUGGGUUGUUCUUAUUGUGUAUCCUGUAUACGGGGAGUAAGAUGGCAUUCGUACUAUACUAUAACUGUGACCAUGGUUGGCGUUCUCCUGUUUGCUCGGUGCCGUGUUGGUACGUUCUUGGUUUCCUUAUCAUUUACCUCCUCUCGGUCGGAUUCACGUUUGCUUGCAAUUGAGUAGACAUACAAGGCGCUUCGUCGAGGCAGUGAUUGUCGGCUGAUUGCCGAGUUGGCUAUUGUCAUAUCCGCAUUGAUCGCCACAGCUCGAUGUGCAUUUCAUCGUACACCAGCGGUUGAUCCCCCGCAGGAGGGUGUUCUUUUCCGGAAAAGUGGUCGUACAUCCGACCCGUGAGCCCAGCGGUGUUCUCUUUGUGCUAGGGUUACCAUGCAGGUGUGAGCAGAUAGUGGCUUUUGCCUGAGGUCCUUUGACCGACACGGCGUUUAGAUUGGUACUUUGGGACCUUCUCGUCCGUUGACGCAUUAUAGCUAUAGUAGCGGUUGUUGGCAUAUGUACUUCUAGUUCUUUCUUUACAGUUGUUCUUGCUACUAUAGUAUUGAUAUCCUUGUCAUGCUUGCAGUUGUACAUACAGUAGCGGUAGUGUUGUUUUCAUAUAUAUAUAAUCGCAUUCGUUCAUUAUCGUUGCUACAACAUUUUACUUACCCAUGCUGUUUUAUCUCUUCCUGAUCCGGUGAGUAACUCCUCGCCUUCCUUCGGCUUGCGGUACCCACUGGGAGGGAGACAUGUUUACAUGUUCUCACUCCCCAACAUUUUUUCAGUAUCGCGGGCGAUGAGUAGUGGGACGAGACGUGAGGUAUGCGUGUAGCGGUCGAUAGAGCUUUCGACCCAGGUUAAUUCGGUUUACUUUCUUAUCCUCUUAUUUUUGGGCUGAUGAAUGUUUAGUUGGUUUAUGUGGUUCAGUGUUCAUNNNNNNNNNNNNNNNNNNNNNNNNNUAUAUAUAUAUAUAGUAUAUAGAUAUAUAAUAAUAUAUAUAUAGUCCGGCUGCUAUGCUAUCGAUCAUGCACACGCAAGCACUUGGUGCUAUCAAAUUUUCUGUGCCGUUAGAUUAACUACUUUGAUUAUUUUUUUACUGUUAGAUUAUAACUCUUCACGCAACCACACUAACUCAAUCUAAGGGGCCCACUUAUCAUAACCGCACAAAAUUUCGUCAAUUAAGGUGGUUUAAAAACUAAUAGCAAUGCAAUAACUUAUUGCUAUUGUAGCAUUUCCGGCCUAUAUAUACUUAUAUAGUAUAUAUAUAAUGAUUAUGUAUACUAUAUAGAUAUGUAUGUCAUGUAUAUAAUAUGUAUGUGGUAUAUAUAUAAGAUGUAUGUAUGUAAUAUAUAUAUGAUAUGUUAUGUAUAAUAUAUAUGUAUGUAUAUUAUAUAAUACAUACAUAAAUAUAACUACAUACAUACAUAUAUAUAUAUAUAUCAUAUGUAUUAUAAUUAUGAUAUAUACUAUAUCAUACAUAUAUACAUACAUAUAUAUAUAAUAUAUAUAUAUAUAUAUAUUAUUAUACAUAUACAAAAUAUAUACAUACAUACAUACAUACAUAUACUAUAUAUAUAUAUAUAAUAUAUGAUACAUAUAUAAUAUAUAUCUAUAUAUAUACAUUAUAGUAUAUAAUAUAUAGUUAUAUAUAACGUUUCACGACUGUAUAUAUAUAUAGUAUAUGUAUAUAUAUAUAUACAUAUAAUACUAAUGUAUACGUACGAUAUAAAUAUAUAAUGUAAUAUAUGAUAGCUAUACAAUAUAUAUAUUAUAUUAUAAUAACUUAUAUAUAUAAAUACAUACAUAUAUUAUAUUAUAAUAUAAUUAUAUAUCACACGUACGGUAUCAUAUAUAUAUAUAUCAUAUGUAUAAUAUAUAUAUAUGUAGUAUAUUAUAUAUAAUAUAUAUAUAUGUAUGUAUACAUAUAUAUACAUGUAUAUAUGUAUGUAUACAUAUAUACCAUUAUAUAUGUAUGAUAUACAUAUAUACAUUAUCAUAUGUAUGUAUAAUUCAAUAUACAAUGUAUAGUAUGUAUGUAUAUACUAUAUACAUGUAUAUAUGUAUGUAUAUAUUAUAAUAUACCUGUAUAUAUAAUACAUACAUAUAUAUAUUAUUAAUAUAUAUACUAUAAACAUGUAUUAUAUGUAUGUAUAUAAUUAUAACAUGUAUAUAUUAUGUAUAUAUAUAUACAUAUAUAUAAUAUUUAUAGUACAUAUAUAUAUAUAUAUACAUAUCAUAUAUAACUAAUAUAUAACAUUAUAUAUAUAUACAUACAUAUAACAUGUAUGUAUAAUGUAUUAUAUAUUAAUGUAUAUAUAUAUAUACUAUAUACAUACAUUAUAACUAAUACAUUAUAUUAUAUGAUAUUAUAUACAUACAUGUAUACAUUAUGUAUAUAUAUAUAUAUACAUAUGUAUCGUAUAUAUAACAUACAUGUAUACAUGUUUGUAUAUAUAUCAUUACAUUGUAUAUAUAUAUAUAUACAUAACAUGUAUACAUGUAUGUAUAUAUACACUCAUCAUAAUAAUAGUAUAUAAUACAUAUGUAUGUAUAUUACAUACAUGUUAGCAUGUAUAUAUACAGUAUAUCAUACAUGUAUACAUCUGUAUGUACAAUAUAGUAUGUAUUAUAUUAUACAUACAUUAAUACAUGUAAUGUAUAAUAUCAUACAUGUAUACAUGUAUGUAAUACUAUACAUACAUAAUAUAUGUAUAUAUACAUAUCUAUAUUAAUAUAUAUAUAUAUACUAUAUAUGACAUAUAUGUAUAUAUAUGUACAUCAUACAUAUAUGUCAUAUACAUAUAUGUAUCAUAUAUGUAUAACAUAUAAUGAUAUAGUAAUAAUCAUCAUACAUUAUGUACUUAUUGUACAUAUAUAUACAUAUAUGUACAUAUAUGUAUAUAUAUAUAUACAUAUAUAUAUAUACAUACAUCAUAUAUAUUAAGUAUGUAUAUAUAAAAUACAUACAUAACAUGUAUCACAGUAUGUAUGUAUAUAUAUAACUGUACAUACAUACAAGUAUGUGUAUAUGCAUGUAUGUAUAAAUAAUAUGUAUAUAUAUAAUAUGUACAUACAUACUACAAUAUUUAUAAUGUAUAUGCCAUGUAUGUAUAUAUAUAAUAUAUAUAUACUUAUAUUAUGUAUUGUAUGUAUAUACAUAUAUAUAUGUAUGUUAUAUAUGUAUAUGUAAUGUUAUACAUAUAUAUAUGUAUUAUAUAUAUGUAUAUGUUGUGAUAUACCAAUAUUAUGUUAUAUAAUAUAUUAUGUUAUGUAUGUAUAUGUAUAUGUAUAUGUAUGUAUAUGUAUAUGUAAUAUACAUACUUAUAUAUAUAUAUAAUAUAUAUAUAUAAUAUACUACUAUAUAUGUAUAUGUAAUAAUGUAUAUACAUAUACAUAUAAAAAAACAUACCAUAUACAUAUACAUACUAUAUGUAUUAUACAUAAUAUAACUAUAUAUCAUAUAUAAUAUAUACAUAUAUUGUAUAUUUAUGUAUAUAUACACACGUAUACAUAUAUAUAUACUAAAUUACAUAUAAUAUACCUACCAUUAUUAUAGUAUACAUAUAUAGCAAUACUGUAUAAUAUAUAUACAUAUAUAUAUAUAUAUUAUAUAUAUAUACAUCGUAAUACAUAUAUAUAUUAUAACAUAUAUAUAUAUGAUUAUAUAUAUUCAUAUAUAUACAUAUGAUAUAUAUAAUAUAUAAUAUAUAUAUAUAUUACUAAUAUAUCAAUAUAUAUAUACACACACACAUAAUAUAUAUAUAUAUAGAGUAGGGUUACUAUACUAUUAUGAGUAUUGGGCUCUUCGUACUCAUAAAGUUUUUUUUGUAAGGACUGAGAUGUUUUUACAGUGCAACAUAAACUCUCCUGUUGACGAUAUUAUGUGUGUAUUAUUACAAUAAGCACUCGUCAAGUUUCAGGAGAAAAUGACUAAAACGGAGAAAGUUAACGGAUUAGUAGUUUUCACUUAAGUGAUAAGUAACUUCGGUUUUUCGAAGAGGCCACGGAAGUAGAGUUGGCUUCGGUGCGUACGGACUCCAGUUCCUAGUGGUCCAAUAGCUCGUUUCGACCGCAUUCAGCUGUUCCUGGAACUAAUGGCGCUGACGAUUUUGAAUUUGACGGCACGGGAUUUCGAGAAAAUCGAAAAAAUACAUGUUUUAUAUGCUAAUUUUUGUGGUUUCUUUCAAUUGGAACGAAAGCGUUGGAUUUUUGUCGUGAUCCGUGGUGAUGCGAGACGAAACAAAUGUAGCUUGUUGUCUCGAGUAACUGAUCGUACUGGUGAAUCCGUUCGCAAAUCUGACGGACGGAUCUGCGUGAUAUGCGAGUUGUUCGAGGAGAGUCGUCGUGGGAAAACGGUAUUUUUGCAAAGUCGCGCAAAUACUUUUAUGUACGUAUUUAACGUGAGAUCGGCACUGGUAGGGGUAUUCUCGUUCGUUUUACACGCAGCUGUAGGGACUUAGUACCAAAUACGGAAGUUUGAGGGGCUUUUCCGCAAUUUGGAGGCUAAGUUAUACAAAGAGUAUUCUAGGGGUUUUGCAAUGGAAACCCUAAACCCUAAGCCUCCCUGUGCACCAAGCCGCCUAGGAGGCUCCCGCCCACGCCGUCUUGCACCCCCGCGGCCGGCAAGCACGCCCCGUCGCCGGAAAAAGUUUUCCCAAGAUCCAACCUUUCCUCCCUCUCCCUCCCCUCUUGCCGAGGUUGUACCCAAGCACCACCCUGAGCCGGCCAGCCUUGAGUUAGGUGAGCCCCGACCCAGGCCCCCGGCACCUGUCACGCCGACGCCCCACCGUCGCGCGUGCGCCGCCGAGCCGCCGUAGCCGCCUGCGGCCCCAGGGACACCACCCGAGGCCGAACUGGUGGCUCGGGUGUGUUGGCCACUGGCGGCAGCUUUCCCGACGGCGCGGGAGGUCUCCGCCGACCGUGGUCCCGGGACCACCGACCGACCCCCUGGCCACACCUUGAGCGCCGCCGGCCGCUGCAGGUGCCCCCUGCCGCGCUUGUGAAUAUCUGUAGGCGAGGCGCGGGCCGCCUUCGCAGCUCCCUGAGCAAUCGCCGCCCCCGCCGACGGCAAGCUCGGCCACCACCUCGACCCGCCAUCGUCCCCGACCGGCCGACCAGCCCGACCGCCAGCAUGCUUCCCGCCCUCGCCCGCGCAGACUGAUGGAAGGCACCAAACGCGAUGCCGUCGGCGGCAUCCGUACGCCGCCGCCUGCAGCCUCCCGCCCCCCUGAGCGCCCUGUCGUGGAUUCCCCGGAGCCCGCCACCUGUGCAUCCCCUCCCGGGACGGCCCUGCCGAAUACGCCGGCGGCCAACCUAAGCUCCCCCCUCACAUGUGAGUGUCCCAUUUACGCAAUUCCAGCACUGUUUUCUCCACUCUCCGGUAACUUUUUUCGGCAAUCCGAAAUGGUCUUUUUGACCUCGGAAGUGAGCACGAUGAUUCUUGGUCUGCUGAACAUCGUGCUCCUUUCCGUUGAGCCCUGAGACUGCUUGGUUCGCCGGUGUAACCGCGAGUCUUUCCUGCGGUGCGGCUGCUUCCGGCUGACCUUCGCGUCCUUGUCGCGCACCGCAGUCGCCGAAUUGCUCCGAUGGUGAGCACGUCUCCGGCGACGCUAUGAAACCCUAUCAGCGGGUGCGACGGUUGGAAACUCCAGCGAGCCUCGUAUCGCAAGAAUCGGCCAUUAAAACUGUCGGAAAUCGCAUAAAAUGAUAGAUUUUUAGGGUUCAAACGAUGUGCGUUUCUCUUGCAUAAUAUAACAUCGACUCGGGUCGCCUGUGAGACAGCGCGUGUAAACGCUGAGGGAACCUCUGGACUGGAUUGCUCCAAGGCGCUAAGACCGCUUGCGUAAGAUCGAAAAUGCUUUUCCCGGUGCGUUAUUUCGGCGAAAUCCGCCGACGGAGACGCGGGUUCGGUUCGGAAUUAUUCCGACGGUGCUUCGUGAACUUUUGCGUAAGUCGCUGAGGCCUUGUUGGCUGGUCACUUGCGUCAUUUCGAGAGUUCGGAAAUGACGGGUGAGGCGACGGUGGGUUCCGGUGUCAGAAUUAGACACUUCCGGGGAACCCGAAUCGAACGAUUAUCCGAACGAUAAUUGCUUCAAACAGAGGAGUUGUGUGUCGCUGCCAUGGAUGCAUGAUUAUUUAUGUUUAGUGGCAGCAGUGACUCGUAGCUCAGAGUCGGUAUGUUCCGGGAGCAGUUCGUGCUCCGGCGGAUGCCGUGCCGAUUUACGGGACUUUCCGCGUAUUACGGCGAUCGGUUUGGGAAACCGCAUCUCCAUGGGUUUGCUUGUAGGUUGUGGAUUUUGUGGUUAUUAGCUUGUGGGUAACACUAACCCGUGGGACUUCAUUAGGUCCGGUUGACGUCCUUUUUGCAGUCAGGACACAGGCGCAGCAUUUGUACAGGUGGGUACUUCGAUUCCGCGUCGUAACUGUGUGCACGCUCGUGAUGGUUUCCGUACUCUGUUCUCCGUUAUUAUCGGCAUUUAUAUAUAUAUCUGAUAUAUAGUUUUGAGACUUGCAUCCCCGUUGUUUCUAUUAACUCUACUCAAUAUGUUCUAUGCUCUAGUAUCAUGUGUAGGAGUAGAGUAGUUUAUCCAUCAUGUGAUGUCGUGACCUGAUUGGUCGGUUUCUCAGUACCUGUGUUCCGGUGACCUGAUUUGGUCGGUUCUCGUACUUCGUUCGGUGACCUAAGUUGAUGCGGUUGUUAUCUUAUAUCUGUUGACCUGGUUGUCGGUUGUUGCAUUACGUAAUUGGUUUGGUCUGUUUCUUGACUUCCUGUUGUUCGAUGACCUUGAGGUCGGUGUCCCUGAGGGAUAGAUUGUCGGCUGGUAUGCUACGUCAGUUCUGGACUAUAUCGGAUACACUCACUGUGCUCAUUCGGUCGGUUCUUGCGUUGUACUUUAGUUGACAUCGAAGCAGUAUCGCAUAUUAUCUUUAUUUACUCUGCCUGGGUUGUUCUUAUGUGAAGUAUCCUGUAUAGGGUAGUAGUAGAUGGCAUUCGUAUAUACUGAUACUGUGACCAUGGUUGGUCGUUCUCGCUGUUUGGCUCGGUGCCGUUUGGACGUUCGUGGUUCUCCUUAUUUUACCUCUUCGGUUCGGGAUUCCACGUUUGCUUGCUUGAUGAGCCUAGAUUUACAUUUGAAAAUGUGGAUUUCUGGAUUUUGUAAAAUAAAAGAUUUUCUACCCCUCGUGGUAGCGUUUUUAAAGAAUAAAGGUUCCUGUGUAGGGAACAGUUUUCAAAAGAUUUUCUAAGGAUUUAUAUUUAGACAUUGAAUGCAUAUCUGUGAUGUGAAUGGUGAAUGUAUGAAUGUAUGGUGAUUUCUAUAUUCAUAUAGUUGUGGUUGUAUCCUGUUUGUACUGUUGUACUUGUGCGACGCCGUGCAAAUACAGGGGAAACUCUGUCCGUGUGAACAGUGGAAUCUCUGUAUUUGUGGCGGGUCUGGCAUACUCUGGGGUCAGGAUUUAAAAAAAAAAAAAAAAAAUUCAGACGCUUUUCCGCUAUCUUUUAAACUCAAAGGGACCCCGGGGCGUGACAUUUUUAAUGAUAGAGUUUCCGAAUCGACGAUCACUCCAUUAAAUAUGAUCUAGAAGAGUAUUUGAAACUUCUAGAAAAUAAAUUUUGUAAUUUUUGGAAAUUAUAAUAAAGUCCAUCAAGUGGGCAUAAAAUGAACGGUCAAAAUCGAACGAUAUCUUAAAAAUGGAUGAUCAGAUCAUUCAAUUUAAGAUCGGAGUUAUUGAUCUUUAUCUAGGUAGUGAAUAGAAUUUUCUAUCAAAAAUUCAACCAAUUCGGAAUCUUUUGCACUGUUAAACUAGCAAGUAUUCCAUACCGGCCAUUAAAAAUUGUCAAUUUUGUAAGCUUUUGAUCGUAAGGUAAAUGAUGUCAAAAAAUUAUGAAAUUUGAUUUCUAGAAUUCAAAUGUUUUAGAUAACGGUUAACGGUGUAGAUCGUCAAAUCGAAAGCUCUAUCAUCGAAAAUAACUUAUGAGUACGAGGACAAUCGUACUCAUAAUAGUAUAGUAACCGGACUCAUAUAGACCAUGGCUACUAUACUAUUAUGAGUAUUGGAGCCCUCGUACUCAUAAGUUGUUUUUAAUGAUGGAGCUUCCGAAUCGACGAUCCACUCCGUUAAAUAUAAUCUAGAGUAUUUAAAAUUUCUAGAAAAUAAAUUUCAUAAAUUUUCGAAAUCAUAAUAAAGUUCAUCAAAUGUGCAUAAAAUGAACUGUCAAAAUCAAACGACGUCCUAAAAAAGGAUGAUCGGAUCCUUCAAUUCAAGAUCGGAGUUAUUGAUCUUUAUCUAUGUAGUGAAUAAAAUUUUCUAUCAAAAAUUCAAUAAAUUUCGAUUCUUUUACACCGUUAGACUAGCAAAUAUUCUAUACCGGCCGUUAAAAAUUGUCAAAUUUGUGACCUCUUGAUCGCAAGGUAAAUGAUGUCGAAAAAUUAUAAAAUUUGAUUUCUAAAAGUUUUAAAUGCUGUAAAUAACGUUUAACGGUGUGGAACGUCGAUUCGGAAGCUCUAUCAUCGAAAACAACUUAUAAGUACGAGGGCAAUCGUACUCAUAAUAGUGAAAUUACCAUCAAUAUUUUUCACACUCAUUUAACAACACUUUUUUUUUUCUCGACUCCGUUAAAGUAAAUGGCACAUGAAGAGAACGAGCAGUGAUCUACAGCAACGUAUUAUAAACUUGCGUUGAAUGCAUUAUUUAGAAAUUUAUGAUUGUCCCUAAUUUUGCAAUGGGCUGAAAGUAAGCUCGUAAGCUACAAUUGCCCAAGAAAAUCGACAAAGUGCACAAGUCGUAGCUUAAUUACUUGUUCGAGAUGUUCGAGACUCACUUGCGAGGCUCCGACAAUCACACACCUUUAGUGAUACAAGGACCACGAUUCACCCAGUUGGCACGUCUUUAGUAUGGUGCAGUGGUGCAAUUUGAUAUACAGAUUGGAGCCAAUAAGACAUGCCAUCUCUCAUGUAGCCAAUGGGAUAAAGUGAAUCGAACUAGGUAGCCAAGACCGUGCACCGCCGCCGCCCGGCCCACGACCCCGCUCAACUCGUGACAUGUGCGCGUUUUUUGGAUGACACAACACUCAUUUUCACCCAAGCAGCUAGCUUGAGGAUGAUGAAAAAUAUAAAGCACUACUAUGCAUAUUGAAUUUUUAAUAUGGGACUAAAUUCACAUGAAGUAAAUUAUGCAUAGUCACCUAGGUAUACCGCAUUUAAUUAUGCACGGUUUAAACAAUUCUAUUUAGAUUUUAAUAUUUAAAAAUAAAAGACAUGUGACUAGUGUGAAACGAUUAUAAAGUUUCUCCUCCAAUAUACCCACCCAUGGUUCAUGUUCUCCUCACUAGUCAUGUUUCUCUCUUUUCUUCUUAAUAUGUCCAAAAUAAAUUGUAUAAAUUUUAAGGUAGGAUUAAAACACCCCUGAAUCAAAGAUCAUGAUCAUACAACCUUCUUUGGGUUGUGGACUUAGCAUUUCACUUUAAGUAGUGCAUGUUCAAGAUUGAAGUUUUUCACCGACCCUGAUUAAUUACUUGGGAAAACUUCAAAUACCAUUCCUGUGGCUUCACACUUUCUCACUUUAAUACCCUGCGGUGUAAAAUGUAUUAGUUUAGUACCCUGUAGUUUAAAGUGGCUUCCAAAUUAACAAUUGGCUCUGUUAGACUUGAUCUACACUAUUAAAAGUAUUUGAAAACUAACUUUCAUAACUUUUUAAUCUUAUUUGGCUAGUUAUUAAAAGAUCUUAAAAUUAAUAAUUUUAAUAGUCGAUGUAAUACUUUUAUGAAUUUAAUAGUGUGAGACAAUCCAAAUCUGAUAAAUUUUUAUAAUUUUUUUUUACUAUUUAGAGUAAGAUCAGUAUCGCUGAUGUUAAAUCCAAGUAUUUCAUCAUUAUUUUUUAUGAGAUUUUUAUUUUUAAUCACUCCUUUUUAUGCUACUGUUUUGAUA
rnacentral:lncRNA from 1 species